rnacentral:pre_miRNA from 1 species
UAUGUACUCCCUCCGUUCGGAAUUACUUGUCGUGGAAAUGGAUGUAUCUAGAUGUAUUUUAGUUCUAGAUACAUCCAUUUCCGAGACAAGUAAUUCCGAACGGAGGGAGUAUCAA